rnacentral:rRNA from 1 species
AUGCACGCGUCCGCGCGCUUCUCCUCUUCCUUCGCCUCAUCCAGGAAGGCCAUUUCUGACGCCGUUGCACGGUCGUCCUAUCGGCCUCUCUGUGGGAAGAAGCAUCUGGGUUCUCUCUCUGCUCAGGAUCCACCCAAAGUCCAGAAGAGAUUAACAAAAGAAGAAAGAAGGGCCAAGGUAGAGGAAUUUGUUGAAAAUUACAGGGCAUCACAUGAAGGAAAAUUUCCGUCUGCUACAUAUGUUCGUAAGCAGGUUGGAGGAUCCUACUACGUAUCAUGGGCAUUGCUCCAGGAACUGGAGUACAAUUCGAGACUGAGGAGUGAUGUCAGAGAUGCCUCUUUCAACUCAACCAGAGAUGUGGGGACCAGCUUCGAGGGCAUAAAGGAAGAGACGGAUCUACCCGAAGUCCACAAGAGGAUGACAAAAGAAGAAAGAAGGGCCAGGGUAGAGGAAUUUGUUGAAAAUUUCAGGGCUUCACACGAAGGAAAAUUUCCACAUGCGACAUAUGUUCGUCAGCAGGUUGGAGGGUCCUACUAUACAGUGCUGGCGUUACUCCAGGAAUUGGAGUAUAAUUCAAGACUCAAGAAUGAUGUAAGAAAUGCCUCUUUCAGCUCAGAAAACUUCAAGGAAAAAUACGGGCUCCACAAUAUCGAUCUCUCUCCAAGAGUUGCUACUACCAACUUUCAGGGUGUAAAGGAAGAAAUGGCUAAAACUUCGGAACCUCUGGAUCUAAAUACUAAGCCACAACUUCCAGAAUGCCAUGGUAAAGCUGGAGCUGCCAAGCCAAACUUAUCCCCAACAACUUGUUUGGAGGAUAAAAGUGAGCCAAUGGCAUCAGAUCAAACUGAAAACAACAAUAUGGUUAAGGCACAAAACCUCAAGAGCCCUAAGCAUGCGCAUGAAGCAUCGAAAGGGGCAAAUCUGUGGGGCAGCCUGAAAUCCUUUGCUGGUGGACUCAGGAUCUUUUGGAACAAUCUGUAA